AUAGCAAUAUAUGAGACCGGCGCACGGGUGCGCUAACGCGUAUGCAAUCUACCUUUUACAGGGGAAUAGCCCAGAGAAAUUUGGAUUAAUGCCCCAUGGUAUAAUUGAUUGGCAUCAAUUAAUUAUUAAAGUUCCAACGGUAAAAGAUGAGCAUGCGUCCCAUUAGCUAGUUGGUAUGGUAACGGCAUACCAAGGCGAUGAUGGGUAGGGGUCCUGAGAGGGAGAUCCCCCACACUGGUACUGAGACACGGACCAGACUCCUACGGGAGGCAGCAGUGAGGAAUAUUGGACAAUGGGCGCAAGCCUGAUCCAGCCAUGCCGCGUGCAGGAAGAAGCAUCUAUGGUGUGUAAACUGCUUUUAUACAGGAAGAAACACUCCCUCGUGAGGGAGCUUGACGGUACUGUAAGAAUAAGGACCGGCUAACUCCGUGCCAGCAGCCGCGGUAAUACGGAGGGUCCAAGCGUUAUCCGGAAUCAUUGGGUUUAAAGGGUCCGUAGGCGGUUUAAUAAGUCAGUGGUGAAAACCCAUCGCUCAACGAUGGAACGGCCAUUGAUACUGUUAGACUUGAAUUAUUAG
rnacentral:rRNA from 1 species